AAAAAUUGAUGGAACCAGAACACCCCGAGAUGAGAGGAGAAGAGCCCAGCACAACGAAGACGGAAUCUCGCUCUGUCACAGUGGUGCGAUCUGAGCUUACUGCAACCUCUGCCUCCCCGGUUCAAGUGAUUCUCCUGCCUCAGUCUCCCAAGUAGCUGGGACUACAGGUGCCCACUGCCACACCUAGCUAGUUUUUGUAUUUUUAGUAGAGAUGGGGUUUCACCAUGUUGGCCAGGCUGGUCUCAAACUCCUGGCCUCAGGUUAUCCACCUGCCUCAGCCUCCCAAAGUGCUGGGAUUACAGGAGUGAGCCACUGCACCCGGCCCCUUCUACUCACUUUGGAUUCAAUUUGCUAGGUUUUGUGCUUUAGCUUCCCUGGCACACCCCAACCCCAGCUUUUUAAGUUCCUUGAAAUUCGAUGAGACUUACCCGACGGGCCCGAUUGUGUCCUAGCUUGGCGGAAGCUUCUGGGGCAUUGACGAGGACAGGUGUCUGCUGCUGUCAGGCAGAAUGUCCCCCCAGUGGAGCGGAGGCGGAGGGACAAGAUCAACAACUGGAUCGUCCAGCUUUCAAAAAUCAUUCCAGACUGUAACGCAGACAACAGCAAGACGGGAGCGAGUAAAGGAGGGAUCCUGUCCAAGGCCUGCGAUUACAUCCGGGAGUUGCGCCAGACCAACCAGCGCAUGCAGGAGACCUUCAAAGAGGCCGAGCGGCUGCAGAUGGACAACGAGCUCCUGAGGCAGCAGAUCGAGGAGCUAAAGAAUGAGAACGCCCUGCUUCGAGCCCAGCUGCAGCAGCACAACCUGGAGAUGGUGGGCGAGGGCACCCGGCAGUGACACCCGCCACCGCUGCGCAGCUGCCGCCGCCCACGCCGGCCUCUGCUGCCCCCUUCCCCAGCCCUUAGCACAGAGAGGGACACACGCCCCUCCCCCAGCUGCGUUUUUUUAUAGUAGAUUUUUAACAAAAAACGGGGAGAAAUAAUGCAUUUCUGUGGAUACAGUGCCCACCGCCCUCCUCCACUUGGAAACAGUAUCCUCCCUCCCCAUCCGUCUGUCUGUCGCCCUUCUCCCGGCCCUCACUAAGCCCCGGCACUUCUAGUGGUCUCACCUGGAGGCAAGAGGGAGGGGACAGAGGCCCUGCCACGUCCCGCUGCCUCCUGUUCUCUGGAGGUACUGAGACAGGGUGCUGAGGGGAAGGAGGGGAGCCUUUGGGGGGCCACCCGGGGCCUGGACCUAUGCAGGGAGGCCACGUCCCACCCCACCUCUUGUUUCUGGGUCCCUGCUCCCCUUUGGGUGUGUGUGUGUGUGUUUUAAUUUUCUUUAUGGAAAAAUUGACAAAAAAAAUAGAGAGAGAGAGAGGUAUUUAACUGCAAUAAACUGGCCCCACGUGGCCCCU
rnacentral:sRNA from 1 species